AGAGUUUGAUUCUGGCUCAGGAUGAACGCUGGCGGCGUGCUUAACACAUGCAAGUCGAACGGGAAACCUUUUAUUGAAGCUUCGGCAGAUUUAGCUGGUUUCUAGUGGCGGACGGGUGAGUAACGCGUGGGUAACCUGCCCUAUACAGGGGGAUAACAACCAGAAAUGGUUGCUAAUACCGCAUAAGCGCACAGGACCGCAUGGUCCGGUGUGAAAAACUCCGGUGGUAUAGGAUGGACCCGCGUUGGAUUAGCCAGUUGGCAGGGUAACGGCCUACCAAAGCGACGAUCCAUAGCCGGCCUGAGAGGGUGAACGGCCACAUUGGGACUGAGACACGGCCCAG
rnacentral:rRNA from 1 species